rnacentral:rRNA from 1 species
GAUGAACGCUGGCGGCGUGCCUAAUACAUGCAAGUCGAGCGAACAGAUGAGGAGCUUGCUCCUCUGACGUUAGCGGCGGACGGGUGAGUAACACGUGGAUAACCUACCUAUAAGACUGGGAUAACUUCGGGAAACCGGAGCUAAUACCGGAUAAUAUAUUGUACCGCAUGGUUCAAUAGUGAAAGACGGUUUUGCUGUCACUUAUAGAUGGAUCCGCGCCGCAUUAGCUAGUUGGUAAGGUAACGGCUUACCAAGGCAACGAUGCGUAGCCGACCUGAGAGGGUGAUCGGCCACACUGGAACUGAGACACGGUCCAGACUCCUACGGGAGGCAGCAGUAGGGAAUCUUCCGCAAAGGGCGAAAGCCUGACGGAGCAACGCCGCGUGAGUGAUGAAGGUCUUCGGAUCGUAAAACUCUGUUAUUAGGGAAGAACAAAUGUGUAAGUAACUAUGCACGUCUUGACGGUACCUAAUCAGAAAGCCACGGCUAACUACGUG